rnacentral:tRNA from 1 species
GGGAAUAUGGCUUAGUGGUAGAGUGCUUGCCUAGCAUGCAUGAAGCCCUGAGUUCAAUUCCUCAGUACCA